rnacentral:rRNA from 1 species
GACGAACGCUGGCUGCGUGCUUAACACAUGCAAGUCGAACGGAAAGGCCCCUUUGGGUGUACUCGAGUGGCGAACGGGUGUGUAACACUUAAGUAACCUGCCCUUGACUUCUGGAUCACUUCCUGCAACUGGGGCUAAUACCGGAUAGGAAUCCUUGCUGCAUGGUGGGGGUUGGAAAGCUUCGGCGGUUUUGGAUGGACUCGCGGCUUAUCAGCUUGUUGGUGGGGUAGUGGCUUACUAAGGCUUUGACGGGUAGCCGGCCUGAGAGGGCGACCGGCCACAUUGGGACUGAGAUACGGCCCAGACUCCGACGGGAGGCAGCAGGGGGGAAGAUUGCACAAUGGGCGGAAGCCUGAUGCAGCAACGCCGCGGGCGGGAGGACGGCCUUCGGGUUGGAAACCGCGUUCAGCAGGGGCGAAGCUUGUGGUGACGGUACCUGCAGAAGAAGCACCGGCUAACUACGUG